rnacentral:rRNA from 1 species
UGCAAGUCGAAGGUGAAGCAGGACUUCGGUCCUGUGGAAACUGGCGCACGGGUGAGUAACGCGUGGGAAUCUACAUUGGGGUGGGGAAUAACCGCUGGAAACGGCGGCUAAUACCGCAUACGCCUUUCGAGGGAAAGCUUUUGCGCCCUGAGAUGAGCCCGCGUCGGAUUAGCUUGUUGGUGGGGUAAAAGCCCACCAAGGCGACGAUCCGUAGCUGGUCUGAGAGGAUGAUCAGCCACACUGGGACUGAGAUACGGCCCAGACUCCUACGGGAGGCAGCAGUGGAGAAUAUUGGACAAUGGGGGCAACCCUGAUCCAGCCAUGCCGCGUGCGUGAAGAAGGCCUUAGGGUUGUAAAGCGCUUUCGGCGGGGAAGAUGAUGACGGUACCCGCAGAAGAAGCCCCGGCUAACUCCGUGCCAGCAGCCGCGGUAAUACGGAGGGGGCAAGCGUUGUUCGGAAUUACUGGGCGUAAAGGGCGCGUAGGCGGACCAUCAUGUCAGGGGUGAAAGCCCUGGGCUCAACCUGGGAACUGCCCUUGAAACUGAUGGUCUAGAGGCCGAGAGAGGAUGGCGGAAUUCCCAGUGUAGAGGUGAAAUUCGUAGAUAUUGGGAAGAACACCAGUGGCGAAGGCGGCCAUCUGGCUCGGUUCUGACGCUGAGGCGCGAAAGCGUGGGGAGCAAACAGGAUUAGAUACCCUGGUAGUCCACGCCGUAAACGAUGUGUGCUAGCCGUUGGGAAACCUAGUUUUUCAGUGGCGCAGCUAACGCAUUAAGCAC